rnacentral:rRNA from 1 species
UAAUACAUGCAAGUCGAACGCUUCUUUCCUCCCGAGUGCUUGCACUCAAUUGGAAAGAGGAGUGGCGGACGGGUGAGUAACACGUGGGUAACCUACCCAUCAGAGGGGGAUAACACUUGGAAACAGGUGCUAAUACCGCAUAACAGUUUAUGCCGCAUGGCAUAAGAGUGAAAGGCGCUUUCGGGUGUCGCUGAUGGAUGGACCCGCGGUGCAUUAGCUAGUUGGUGAGGUAACGGCUCACCAAGGCCACGAUGCAUAGCCGACCUGAGAGGGUGAUCGGCCACACUGGGACUGAGACACGGCCCAGACUCCUACGGGAGGCAGCAGUAGGGAAUCUUCGGCAAUGGACGAAAGUCUGACCGAGCAACGCCGCGUGAGUGAAGAAGGUUUUCGGAUCGUAAAACUCUGUUGUUAGAGAAGAACAAGGACGUUAGUAACUGAACGUCCCCUGACGGUAUCUAACCAGAAAGCCACGGCUAACUACGUGCCAGCAGCCGCGGUAAUACGUAGGUGGCAAGCGUUGUCCGGAUUUAUUGGGCGUAAAGCGAGCGCAGGCGGUUUCUUAAGUCUGAUGUGAAAGCCCCCGGCUCAACCGGGGAGGGUCAUUGGAAACUGGGAGA